CCUACGGGAGGCAGCAGUGGGGAAUAUUGCGCAAUGGGGGAAACCCUGACGCAGCGACGCCGCGUGAGCGAAGAAGGCCUUAGGGUCGUAAAGCUCUGUUUUAAGGGACGAAAAUUCGCAGGAGUAACUGCCUGUGAAGUGACGGUACCUUAAGAGAAAGCCCCGGCUAACUACGUGCCAGCAGCCGCGGUAAU
rnacentral:rRNA from 1 species